AUGGGGACAGACGGACAGAUGGGGCCGGAUGGGGAUAAGGACAGACAGACGGACGUGGAGGGGGACAGACGGACAGACGGGGACAGGAACAGAUGGGGACAGACGGACAGAUGGGGCCAGAUGGGGAUAAGGACAGACAGACAGACAGACCGGGACAGACAGACAGACGUGGAGGGGGACAGACGGACAAACGGGGAGGGGGACAGAUGGGGACAGACGGACAGAUGGCGAUAAGGACAGACAGACGGACGUGGAGGAGGACAGACGGACACAGAUAGGGACAGAUGGACAUAUGGGGCCAGAUGGGGAUAAGGACAGACAGACAGACAACAGACAGACAGACGGACGUGCAGCGGGACAGACGGACAGACGGGGACCGGGACAGAUGGGGACAGACGGACAGACGGCGAUAAGGACAGACAGAUGGACAGGGAUGGGGACAGACAGACAGACGUGGAUGGGGACAGACGGCAUAGGGACAUACGGGGCCAGAUGGGGAUAAGGACAGACGGACGGACACGGAUGGGGACAGACGGACAGACGGGGACAGGGACAGAUGGGGACAGACGGACAGAUGGGGACAGAUGGGGAUAAGGACAGACAGACGGACAUGGAUGGGGACAGACGACAGUGGGGACAGAUGGGGAUAAGGACAGACAGACAGACAUGGAGGGGGACAGACGGACAGACGGGGACAGAUGGGGACAGAUGGGGAUAAGGACAGACAGACAGACAGACCGGGACAGACAGACGGACAUGGAGGGGGACAGACAGACAGACGGGGACAGAUGGGGAUAAGGACAGACGGACGGACGUGGGGAGAAGGGGACACAGAUGGGGACAGACAGACACAGACAGAUGGGGACAGAGAGGCACAGAUGGGGACAGACAGACGGACGUGGAUCGGGACAGACAGACGGACACGGAUGGGGACAGACAGACACAGACAGAUGGGGACAGACGGACGGACGUGGAUGGGGACAGACAGACACAGAUGGGGACAGACAGACACAGACAGAUGGGGACAGAGAGGCACAGACAGAUAGGGACAGACGGACACGGAUGGGGACAGACAGACGGACAUGGAGGGGGACAGACGGACACAGAUGGGGACAGACAGACACAGACAGAUGGGGACAGACGGACGGACACGGAUGGGGACAGACAGACGGACAUGGAUGGGGACAGACAGAC
ensembl:lncRNA